UACGUAGGGUGCGAGCGUUAAUCGGAAUUACUGGGCGUAAAGCGUGCGCAGGCGGUCCGCAAAGUCUGAUGUGAAAACUCGGGGCUUAACUCCGGGCCUGCAGUGGGUACGGGCAGACUAGAGUGCGGUAGGGGAGACUGGAAUUCCUGGUGUAGCGGUGAGAUGCGCAGAUAUCAGGAGGAACACCGGUGGCGAAGGCGGGUCUCUGGGCCGUAACUGACGCUGAGGAGCGAAAGCGUGGGGAGCGAACAGG
rnacentral:rRNA from 1 species